UGACUGAUUGCGCCGAGCUCCAUCCAUCAGCCAAGGGACACACCAACAAAUUGGAUGGAGGCGGGGGACCCACCGGUCCGCCGAACAAGCAGACCAGGGACCGCAAGGUUCCUUGGGGUGAAGCUCUGGUCACGACGACAGAGCCGGGCAACCUCUCCAGCCCGAACCCGACAGCUGACCUCGUGGGCGCUGAUGAGAGGACCU
rnacentral:sRNA from 2 species